GCCUACGGGGGGCAGCAGUGGGGAAUAUUGCACAAUGGGGGAAACCCUGAUGCAGCGACGCCGCGUGAGUGAAGAAGUAUUUCGGUAUGUAAAGCUCUACCAGCAGGGAAGAAGCAAGACGGUACCUGACUAAGAAGCCCCGGCUAACUACGUGCCAGCAGCCGCGGUAAUACGGAGGAUGCGAGCGUUAUCCGGAUUUAUUGGGUUUAAAGGGUGCGCAGGCGGCGAGUUAAGUCAGCGGUAAAAUUUCGGGGCUCAACCCCGACGAGCCGUUGAAACUGGCUUGCUAGAGUGGGCGAGAAGUA
rnacentral:rRNA from 1 species